AGUAAUACCAGGCACACUCUGAGCAGAAGUCACACUGACAACCUGAAGCAGCCAGUCCCCUGUCCGGGACACUGAAGGAAGGAGCUGGUAAUCAGUCACUAGCGUGAGCGGUGAGAUCGUGUGAUCGGAGCCACAGACACAACUCUAGUGAGAGACGCUGCCUAAAUCUGUGAGCACUUCCCGGAUUCUCUGAUUAUACCGCAGGAAUCUGUCUGGAGAAUCUUCAAUGCACUCCCUCUAUAGAAAGUGCACCUUUCAUUAGGUACCCACGAUGAUCACACACUGACUGUACUUGAAACACACGGUGCCAAUACAACAAGAGGAUCGUCAGUCAGAGCCAAAGAAGUGACCAGCCCUGUGAUCCCAGGAUAGGAACUCUAGCACCCCAACACAUCUGAGCUCUGUGAAAUAUCCCAGGACAGGAGACCGGAC